GUAGGGGGCGAGCGUUAUCCGGAAUCAUUGGGCGUAAAGGGUGUGUAGGCGGUUAGAUAAGCGAGAGGUUAAAGGCUAUGGCUCAACCAUAGUAAGCCUUUCGAACUGUUUAACUUGAGUACAGGAGAGGAGAGCGGAAUUCCUAGUGUAGCGGUGAAAUGCGUAGAUAUUAGGAGGAACACCAGUGGCGAAGGCGGCUCUCUGGACUGUAACUGACGCUGAGGCACGAAAGCGUGGGGAGCAAACAGGGAUUAGAUACCCUGGUAGUCCACGCCGUAAACGAUGAAUGCUAGGUGUCGGGGGUCGAACCUCGGUGCCGGAGUUAACGCAAUAAGCAUUCCGCCUGGGGAGUACGAUCGCAAGAUUG
rnacentral:rRNA from 1 species